rnacentral:tRNA from 1 species
GUCGUGGUUGCCGAGUGCUUAAGGUGUUAGACUUGAAAUCAAAUGGGCUCUCUCCGCACAGGUUCGAAUCCUGUCCACAACU